AUAAAACCAACAUGCUUUUUUGUUGCAGCAUCUUACACACAAUGUCAUACUGUAUGGCUCAAGUGGACAUACAUAUCUUUACUGGAUGUGGACAAGGCCAUUUAGCUUGGAUUCCAUUUCAGCUUUUAUUUACUGCGUUUGAUACUCACAAUCAAGAUGAGGGGAGUGUGGAUGACGUCUUGGAGGUGUGUCCAAAAUUUGGAGUGGGGGGACAGAACAUACGGACGAUAAUCUUCGUGGCGGGGUAGCCUGCUGUGUUUGGGCCGGGACAUACGACCUUGCUUUCUUUUCGGCCACAGGUUUUUUGUGGUGAUGUCUUUCAGAAGUGCCACUUCUGCUGCUCCAUACUUCUUUUGAUGGACCUUUUAAUGAAAGUGCAAUUUUGUUGUGGCCAUUCCUUUACAAGCAUACCCUAUACUACAAUGGACACUUUACCUGCUUCCGCAGCGCCAUCAUCAUCAUCAGAUGUGAUAGGAGUUACUGUCCGACGAGUAGUACUGCUUUUUUCUAACACUGUAUAAAAUAAAAUAAAUUUUUUUUUUCA